rnacentral:rRNA from 1 species
AGAGUUUGAUCCUGGCUCAGAUUGAACGCUGGCGGCAUGCCUUACACAUGCAAGUCGAACGGUAACAGGCCGCAAGGUGCUGACGAGUGGCGAACGGGUGAGUAAUGCAUCGGAACGUGCCCAGUAGUGGGGGAUAGCCCGGCGAAAGCCGGAUUAAUACCGCAUACGACCUAUGGGUGAAAGCGGGGGACCGAAAGGCCUCGCGCUAUUGGAGCGGCCGAUGUCAGAUUAGGUAGUUGGUGGGGUAAAGGCCUACCAAGCCUACGAUCUGUAGCUGGUCUGAGAGGACGACCAGCCACACUGGGACUGAGACACGGCCCAGACUCCUACGGGAGGCAGCAGUGGGGAAUUUUGGACAAUGGGCGCAAGCCUGAUCCAGCCAUGCCGCGUGCGGGAAGAAGGCCUUCGGGUUGUAAACCGCUUUUGUCAGGGAAGAAAUCUUCUGAGUUAAUACCUCGGGAGGAUGACGGUACCUGAAGAAUAAGCACCGGCUAACUACGUGCCAGCAGCCGCGGUAAU